rfam:Felis catus isolate Cinnamon breed Abyssinian chromosome D4, whole genome shotgun sequence.
GCCUGGGUGGCUCAGUAGUUAAGUGCCUGACUUCAGCUCAGGUCAUGAACUCACAGUUCGUGGGUUCGAGCCCCGCAUCGGGCU